UAACUUCGGGAAAAGGAUUGG
rnacentral:siRNA from 1 species